rnacentral:rRNA from 1 species
UUAAGCGACUAAGCGUACACGGUGGAUGCCCUGGCAGUCAGAGGCGAUGAAGGACGUGCUAAUCUGCGAAAAGCGUCGGUAAGGUGAUAUGAACCGUUAUAACCGGCGAUGUCCGAAUGGGGAAACCCAGUGCAAUUCGUUGCACUAUCGUUAACUGAAUACAUAGGUUAACGAGGCGAACCGGGGGAACUGAAACAUCUAAGUACCCCGAGGAAAAGAAAUCAACCGAGAUUCCCCCAGUAGCGGCGAGCGAACGGGGAGCAGCCCAGAGUCUGAAUCAGCUUGUGUGUUAGUGGAACGGUCUGGAAAGUCCGACGGUACAGGGUGAUAGUCCCGUACACCAAAAUGCACAGGCUGUGAACUCGAAGAGUAGGGCGGGACACGUGGUAUCCUGUCUGAAUAUGGGGGGACCAUCCUCCAAGGCUAAAUACUCCUGACUGACCGAUAGUGAACCAGUACCGUGAGGGAAAGGCGAAAAGAACCCCGGCGAGGGGAGUGAAAAAGAACCUGAAACCGUGUACGUACAAGCAGUGGGAGCACCUUUAUGGUGUGACUGCGUACCUUUUGUAUAAUGGGUCAGCGACUUAUAUUCUGUAGCAAGGUUAACCGUAUAGGGGAGCCGCAGGGAAACCGAGUCUUAACUGGGCGUUAAGUUGCAGGGUAUAGACCCGAAACCCGGUGAUCUAGCCAUGGGCAGGUUGAAGGUUGGGUAACACUAACUGGAGGACCGAACCGACUAAUGUUGAAAAAUUAGCGGAUGACUUGUGGCUGGGGGUGAAAGGCCAAUCAAACCGGGAGAUAGCUGGUUCUCCCCGAAAGCUAUUUAGGUAGCGCCUCGUGAACUCAUCUUCGGGGGUAGAGCACUGUUUCGGCUAGGGGGUCAUCCCGACUUACCAACCCGAUGCAAACUACGAAUACCGAAGAAUGUUAUCACGGGAGACACACGGCGGGUGCUAACGUCCGUCGUGAAGAGGGAAACAACCCAGACCGCCAGCUAAGGUCCCAAAGUCAUGGUUAAGUGGGAAACGAUGUGGGAAGGCACAGACAGCCAGGAUGUUGGCUUAGAAGCAGCCAUCAUUUAAAGAAAGCGUAAUAGCUCACUGGUCGAGUCGGCCUGCGCGGAAGAUGUAACGGGGCUAAACCAUGCACCGAAGCUGCGGCAGCGACACUAUGUGUUGUUGGGUAGGGGAGCGUUCUGUAAGCCUGCGAAGGUGACCUGUGAGGGUUGCUGGAGGUAUCAGAAGUGCGAAUGCUGACAUAAGUAACGAUAAAGCGGGUGAAAAGCCCGCUCGCCGGAAGACCAAGGGUUCCUGUCCAACGUUAAUCGGGGCAGGGUGAGUCGACCCCUAAGGCGAGGCCGAAAGGCGUAGUCGAUGGGAAACAGGUUAAUAUUCCUGUACUUGGUGUUACUGCGAAGGGGGGACGGAGAAGGCUAUGUUAGCCGGGCGACGGUUGUCCCGGUUUAAGCAUGUAGGCUGGUUAUCCAGGCAAAUCCGGAUAAUCAAGGCUGAGGUGUGAUGACGAGGCACUACGGUGCUGAAGUAACAAAUGCCCUGCUUCCAGGAAAAGCCUCUAAGCAUCAGGUAACAUCAAAUCGUACCCCAAACCGACACAGGUGGUCAGGUAGAGAAUACCAAGGCGCUUGAGAGAACUCGGGUGAAGGAACUAGGCAAAAUGGUGCCGUAACUUCGGGAGAAGGCACGCUGGUGUGUAGGUGAAGUCCCUGCGGAUGGAGCUGAGACCAGUCGAAGAUACCAGCUGGCUGCAACUGUUUAUUAAAAACACAGCACUGUGCAAACACGAAAGUGGACGUAUACGGUGUGACGCCUGCCCGGUGCCGGAAGGUUAAUUGAUGGGGUUAUCCGUAAGGAGAAGCUCUUGAUCGAAGCCCCGGUAAACGGCGGCCGUAACUAUAACGGUCCUAAGGUAGCGAAAUUCCUUGUCGGGUAAGUUCCGACCUGCACGAAUGGCGUAAUGAUGGCCAGGCUGUCUCCACCCGAGACUCAGUGAAAUUGAACUCGCUGUGAAGAUGCAGUGUACCCGCGGCAAGACGGAAAGACCCCGUGAACCUUUACUAUAGCUUGACACUGAACAUUGAGCCUUGAUGUGUAGGAUAGGUGGGAGGCUUUGAAGCGUGGACGCCAGUCUGCGUGGAGCCAACCUUGAAAUACCACCCUUUAAUGUUUGAUGUUCUAACGU